GGGUUUAUUAACGACGUUGUGCACUGGCGACGGAGUAGCCUAUCCACACACGUAGCUGUCACACGACGGUCUCCUUUGGUAGGUUAUCCGUGGCACAAUCCACCCGCCAUAAUCCACCGCCAUACACCGGAUGCAGCGACGCGUCGACGCCCAUUCGCCCUCUGACAAACCUCUGAAAAUGCCGUCAGUAAACGUGUGAUUGGAUUUCCCUGAAUUUCCUCAGGGAAAUGAAAAUAAGCGUCCACAAGUUUAUGAAUGCAGAUCAAAGGCCGGGACACACACACACUGCAGUAUAUGCUUUAUUGUGAGCAUAUGCAAAAUGGUCCUUAUAGGCUAAUCAAUUUGUUUAAAAAGGGAGAAGGAAAAAAAGUCCCAACAAUCCCAACGGGAGCCCCGCACUCUACCGACUGACCUACACAUGAACAUCAGUAUCAAAGGGUUAGACUAUUUUCUGGCCCGCCAGGAAAAUAAUUUGGCCCGAUGCCAGACUUAUUUGCCGACACCAGCUGUAUAUGUAUUAAUGAUUUCCUGUUUUCAUGACCAACAUUUCUGUGCCGGAAUCAUCUGAAGUCUUCCUCUGCUCUGCAAAGGCUAGAAGAGUUUCACUUUGUCUCUCGUAGAGAAGAGCAGGAAUCCUGUGCACUUUGGAUGUAAAGAGAGUUUUCUUAAUUGUCUUUAGAUCACAAUGACUGUUUGUUGCCCAUGGUUGUUGUCUGUGUGUAAAAUGCUCUUACAAUUUAUAAGAAAGCAAGAAAUGUAGCUUACUCCUCCAAGAUCAGCAGAGUUUGUCUGCUGGGGGUUUUCUAACUGGGUGGUUCAGUGUGGUCUUUAUUUCACUGAAAACCUGUUGUCCAAACACUGAUAAAUAAAAUUCUGGGGGUUGA